rnacentral:tRNA from 1 species
GGUUCCAUGGCAUAGUGGUUAGGGUGUUCGCUUCGUACGCAAAUGGACCCGGGUUCGAUCCGCGGUGGGCCUA